CAGCAGCCGCGGUAAGACAGAGGAUGUAAGCGUUAUCCGGAAUGAUUGGGCGUAAAGGGAGUGUAGGCGGUCUUUUAAGUCUGAUGUGAAAGCCCACGGCUCAACCGUGGAGGGUCAUUGGAAACUGGGAGACUUGAGUGCAGAAGAGGAGAGCGGAAUUCCAUGUGUAGCGGUGAAAUGCGUAGAUAUAUGGAGGAACACCAGUGGCGAAGGCGGCUCUCUGGUCUGUAACUGACGCUGAGGCUCGAAAGCGUGGGGAGCAAACAGGAUUAGAUACCCCAGUAGUCCCUGUCUCUUAUAC
rnacentral:rRNA from 1 species